rnacentral:tRNA from 1 species
CUCUGAGUAGCUUAAACAAAGCAUUAGCCUUUUAAGUUAAACAUGGUAAACCUACCCUCAGAAG